rnacentral:rRNA from 1 species
GACGAACGCUGGCGGCGUGCUUAACACAUGCGAGUCGAACGGAAAGGCCCUGCUUUUGUGGGGUGCUCGAGUGGCGAACGGGUGAGUAACACGUGAGUAACCUGCCCUUGACUUUGGGAUAACUUCAGGAAACUGGGGCUAAUACCGGAUAGGAGCUCCUGCUGCAUGGUGGGGGUUGGAAAGUUUCGGCGGUUGGGGAUGGACUCGCGGCUUAUCAGCUUGUUGGUGGGGUAGUGGCUUACCAAGGCUUUGACGGGUAGCCGGCCUGAGAGGGUGACCGGCCACAUUGGGACUGAGAUACGGCCCAGACUCCUCCGGGAGGCAGCAGUGGGGAAUAUUGCACAAUGGGCGGAAGCCUGAUGCAGCAGCGCCGCGUGCGGGAUGACGGCCUUCGGGUUGUAAACCGCUUUCGCCUGUGACGAAGCGUGAGUGACGGUAAUGGGUAAAGAAGCACCGGCUAACUACG